rnacentral:rRNA from 1 species
GACGAACGCUGGCGGCGCGCCUAACACAUGCAAGUCGAACUAGCGAGAGAGAGCUUGCUUUCUCGAGCGAGUGGCGAACGGGUGAGUAACGCGUGAGGAACCUGCCUCAAAGAGGGGGACAACAGUUGGAAACGACUGCUAAUACCGCAUAAGCCCACGGUGCCGCAUGGCACAGAGGGAAAAGGAGCAAUCCGCUUUGAGAUGGCCUCGCGUCCGAUUAGCUAGUUGGUGAGGUAAUGGCCCACCAAGGCGACGAUCGGUAGCCGGACUGAGAGGUUGAACGGCCACAUUGGGACUGAGACACGGCCCAGACUCCUACGGGAGGCAGCAGUGGGGAAUAUUGCACAAUGGGGGAAACCCUGAUGCAGCGACGCCGCGUGGAGGAAGAAGGUCUUCGGAUUGUAAACUCCUGUUGUUGAGGAAGAUAAUGACGGUACUCAACAAGGAAGUGACGGCUAACUACGUGCCAGCCGCCGCGGUAA